GUGAGGAAUAUUGGUCAAUGGGCGAGAGCCUGAACCAGCCAAGUAGCGUGCAGGAUGACGGCCCUAUGGGUUGUAAACUGCUUUUACACGGGGAUAAAGUGUGCGACGUGUCGUUCAUUGCAGGUACCGUGCGAAUAAGGACCGGCUAAUUCCGUGCCAGCAGCCGCGGUAAUACGGAAGGUCCGGGCGUUAUCCGGAUUUAUUGGGUUUAAAGGGAGCGUAGGCCGUCUGUUAAGCGUGUUGUGAAAUGUAGAUGCUCAACAUCUGAAUUGCAGCGCGAACUGAUAGACUUGAGUGCGCAGGAAGUAGGCGGAAUUCGUGGUGUAGCGGUGAAAUGCUUAGAUAUGACGUGGAACACCGAUAGCGAAGGCAGCUCACUAACUAUGAAUUGACGCUCAUGGACGAAAGCGUGGGUAGCAAACAGGAUUAGAAACCCCAGUAGUCC
rnacentral:rRNA from 1 species